CCUACGGGAGGCAGCAGUGAGGAAUAUUGGUCAAUGGACGCAAGUCUGAACCAGCCAUGCCGCGUGCAGGAAGACGGCUCUAUGAGUUGUAAACUGCUUUUGUACGAGGGUAAACGCAGAUACGCGUAUCUGUCUGAAAGUCUCGUACGAAUAAGGAUCGGCUAACUCCGUGCCAGCAGCCGCGGUAAUACGGAGGAUUUAAGCGUUAUCCGGAUUUAUUGGGUUUAAAGGGUGCGUAGGCGGUCGGAUAAGUUAGAGGUGAAAUCCCGAGGCUCAACUUCGGAAUUGCCUCUGAUACUGUUCGGCGAGAGAGUAGUUGCGGUAGGCGGAAUGUAUGGUGUAGCGGUGAAAUGCUUAGAGAUCAUACAGAACACCGAUUGCGAAGGCAGCUUACCAAGCUACUUCUGACGUUGAGGCACGAAAGCGUGGGGAGCAAACAGGAUUAGAUACCCUGGUAGUC
rnacentral:rRNA from 1 species